AUGAAUGAUCUGUCACAACCAUCCUUUCCACCUAUACAAGAAAACCCAAACAAUGACAGUAGGGGAGUAAGGAAAUGGUGGCUGGCGGAGGUGGAGGACGCAACUGGUGGGGACGUGCGAGAACGCGACGCCGGUGGCCGCGAGGACCUCCUGGACGGGGCGGGGGAGCACGAAAACAUCGCCGAAGGCGGUGAUCUCGACGGGGCCCCGGAUGCCGGCGGCGCGCAGCGCGGCCGUGACGCGCGGGGCCACGCGGCAGGGGUUGGCGCCGGGCGGAAGCUGGCACUUCUGGAAGUCCCACCACACCGACACCUUGACCUCCUUGCUUUCCUCCUGCUGCUGGGGCUGCCCCCUCCACCGCUCGCCGCCGCCCGCGAGCGAGCUGAGCCCGCGAUGCCCCCGGAGGCGGAGGACGAGGAGGGGGUAUCCGCGGCGCGGAAGCGCUUGGUACAUGGCUGUGAUCAUCGCCGUCGCUCGCCGCGGCGGCGCCACGGGCAGCUGGAGGCGGUGGCUGGCUACUGCUGGCGGCGGGGUUUCUCCAGGGCUUAA
rnacentral:rRNA from 1 species